rnacentral:rRNA from 1 species
CCAGUAGAUAAUAAUAAGAAGAUCUGGAAGAUGAAGAUACCUCUUAAGAAUAAACUCUUUCCAUGGCAUCUUCGUCGUAGAGUCAUUCUUACUAAAGGUAACUUUAUUAAGAGGAAUUGGCAUGGAAGUCCUCAUUGUGUCUCUUGCCAUCAUGAGGAGACAAUUAAACAUUUAUUCUUCCAAUGCAAAUUGGCUCAUUCUAUAUGGCCAGUUCCAAGUAGCUUCUUGCUUGUAUCCUCCUUGUAG